AACGGCAAAGCGUCGUGCAAGUAGCGAAGCAAGGUGCCGUGCGCAUGGGGUGAAGCUUAGUAAGUUGUUGGUUGCCAUCGAUUGUUGUGGGUUGUGUCUAGAAUCUCUCGUGGCGGCUGAUGGCUUUCGACAAAGAACGGCGGAGCCUCGUGCAAGUAGCGCCGCAAGGUGCCGUGCGCAUGGCGCAAAGCUCAGUAGAUGUCGAUUGCCAUCGGUUGUUGUGGGCAACAUCGCUCAUGGCGGUUGAUGGCUUUCGGCAAUGGAACGGCGGAGCAUCUACAAGUAGCGCCGCAAGGUGUCGUGCGCAUGGGGCAAAGUCAGGACAUGGCAGUGCGUGGCCAUGGCACGAGUCGAGACGUCGCAGGCCAUGGCAGGGCGUGGCCAUGGCACGUGUCAGGACGCAUCAGGACAUGGCCAUGGCACUUGUCAUAAGGUUUCAGGACAUGAUAGGGCGUGUCCAUGGCACGAGUCGGGACAUCGCAGGGACAUGGCAAUGGCACGCNNNNNNNGCGCAUGGGGCGAAGCUUAGUAAGUUGCCUAUUGCCAUCGAUUGUUGUGGGUUGUGUCUCCGUGGCGGCUUAUGGCUUUUGACAACGAACGACGGAGCAUCCUGCAAGUAGCGCCGCAAGGUGCCGUGCGCACGGGGUGAAGCUCACUAGAUGUUCAUUGCCAUCGGUUGUAGCGGGAAACAUCGGGAGGCAACAUCGCUCGUGGCAGCUGGUGGAUUUUUGCAACAAAAUGGCAAAGCAUCGUGCAAGUAGCACCGCAAGGUGCCGUGCCCAUGAGGCGAAGCUUAGUAAUUUGCCGAUUGCCAUCGGUUGUUGCGGGCAACAUCGGGAGGCGACAUUGCUCAUGGCGGCUGUUGGCUUUUGGCAACAAAAUGGCAAAGCAUCGUGCAAUUAGCGCCGCAAGGUGCCGUGCCCACGAGGCGAAGCUUAGUAAGUUGCCGAUUGCCAUCGGUUGUUGUGGGCAACAUCGGGAGGCGACAUUGCUUGUGGCGGAUGAUGGCUUUUGGCAACAAAAUGACAGAGCAUCGUGCAAGUAGUGCCGCAAGGUGCCGUGCGCACGAGGCGAAGCUUAGUAAGUUGCCGAUUUCCAUCGGUUGUUGCGGGCAACAUCGGGAGGCGACAUCGCUCAUGGCAGCUGAUGUCUUUUGGCAACAAAAUGUCAAAGCAUCGUGCAAGUAGCGCCGCAAGGUGCAGUGCGCACGAGGCGAAGCUUACUAAGUUGUUGAUUGCCAUUGGUUGUUGCGGGCAACAUCGGGAGGCGACAUCGCUCAUGGCGGCUGAUCGCUUUUAACAACAAAAUGGCAAAGCAUCGUGCAAUUAGCGCCGCAAGGUGCCAUGCGCACGGGGCGAAGCUUAGUAAGCUGCUUAUUGCCAUCGGUUGUUGCGGGCAACAUUGGGAGGCGACAUCGCUCAUGGCGGCUGAUGGCUUUUGGCAACAAAAUGGCAAAGCAUCGUGCAAGUAGCGCCGCAAGGUGCCGUGCGCACGAGGCCUCAUGGCGGCUGAUGGCUUUUGGCAACAAAAUGGCAAAGCAUCGUGCAAGUAGCGCCGCAAGGUGCUGUGCGCACGAGGCGAAGCUUAGUAAGUUGCCGAUUGCCAUCGGUUGUUGCGGGCAACAUCAGGAGGCGAUAUCGCUCGUGGAAGCUGAUGGCUUUUGGCAACAAAAUGGAAAAGCAUCAUGCAAGUAGCGCCGCAAGGUGCAGUGCGCACGAGGCGAAGCUUACUAAGUUGUUGAUUGCCAUCGGUUGGUGCAGGCAAUAUCGGGAGGCGACAUCGCUCAUGGAGGCUGAUGGCUUUUGGCAACAAAAUGCAAAGCAUCGUGCAAAUAGCGCCGCAAGGUGUCGUGCGCACGAGGUGAAGCUUAGUAAGUUGCCGAUUGCCAUCGGUUGUUGCGGGUAACAUCGGGAGGCGACAUCGCUCGUGGCGCCUGAUGGCUUCUCAGGUGCUUGCUGAGGCUGAUGGCUUUUGGCAACAAAAUGCAAAGCAUCGUGCAAAUAGCGCCGCAAGGUGUCGUGCGCACGAGGUGAAGCUUAGUAAGUUGCCGAUUGCCAUCGGUUGUUGCGGGUAACAUCGGGAGGCGACAUCGCUCGUGGCGCCUGAUGGCUUUUGGCAACAAUAUUGCAAAGCAUCAUGCAAGUAGUGCCACAAGGUGCCGUGCACACGAGGCUAAGCUGAGUAAGUUGUCGAUUGCCAUCAGUUGUUGUAGGUUGUGUCUGGCAUUGUUCAAACCCCGUAUUUGUGCUUUGCGAGGCUUGUCUUGGCUUUGCAAUGUUGGCAUCGGCAACAACACAUGGCUGCGCGUCACGUGUUGGGGCUUGUGUUGGCUUUGUAUCGGCGAGGCAAGUGUACGUGCGGCACAUGAGUGUGUUCGGCUUGUGUGGCUAGGUUAGAUCCCUGCUCGAGAAGCGACGUCCUAGCUCGCAUGCCAUCUCAGUCAUGUCACAAGCGCAAAUAAGGCUUGUUCAACGUCGGGUUUCUGUGUUGCAUACCUAAUGACAAGGCAUCAUUAAGCACAAUCGUGUGUUGGGGUGGUGUAGGCUUUGUAUCGGCGAGGCAAGUGUACGUGCGGAACAUGAGUGGUGUUCGGCUUGUAAGGCUAGGUUCGCUUUUGGCAAUGAACGGUGGAGCGUCAUGCAAGUAGUGCCGCAAGGUGCCGUGUGCAUGGGGCGAAGCUUAGUACUUGUUUAUCGCCAUUGGAUGUUGCGAGAAAAAAUGUGAGGCGACAUCGCUUAUGGCGGCUGAAGGCUUUUGACAACAGAACGGCGAAGUGUCGUGAAAGUAGCCCUGGAACGUGCCGAGCGCAUGGGGCAAAGUUUAGUAAGUUUUUGUUGAUUGCCAUCGGUCUUUGUGGGUUGUGUCUGGAAUCUCUCGUGGCGGCCGAUGGCUUUCGACAAUGAACAGCGGAGCCUUGUGCAAGUAGCGCCGCAAGGUGCCGUGCGCAUGGGGCGAAGCUCAAUAGAUGUCGAUUGCCAUCGGUUGUUGCAGGCAACAAUGCUCAUGACGGUUGAUGGCUUUUGGCAAUGGAACGACGGGGUCGUGCAAUUAGCGUCGUAUGGUGCCGUGCGCACAGGGCGAAGCUUAGUAAGUUGCUGAUUGCCAUCGGUUGUUGCGGGCAACAUCAGGAGGCGACAUUGCUCGUGGCGGUUGAUUGCUUUUGGCAACAAAAUGGCAAAGCAUCGUGCAAGUAGCGCCGCAAGGUGCCGUGCGCAAGGGGCGAAGCUUAGUAUGUUGCAGAUUGCCAUCGUUUGUUGCGGGAAAAAUCGGGAGGUAACAACGCUCAUGGCGGCUGAUGGCUUUUGGCAAUGGAAGCGCCGCAAGGUGCAGUGCGCACGAGGCGAAGCAUACUAAGUUGUUGAUUGCCAUCGGUUGUUGCGGGCAACAUCGGGAGGCGACAUCGCUCAUGGCCGCUGAUGGCUUUUGGCAACAAAAUGGCAAAGCAUCGUGCAAGUAGC
rnacentral:lncRNA from 1 species